GACGUAGGGCGCGAGCGUUGUCCGGAUUUAUUGGGCGUAAAGCGCACGUAGGCGGACUGUUAAGUCGGGGGUGAAAUCCUGGGGCUCAACCUCAGAAUUGCCUCCGAUACUGGCAGUCUCGAGUGCGGGAGAGGUGAGUGGAAUUCCCAGUGUAGAGGUGAAAUUCGUAGAUAUUGGGAAGAACACCAGUGGCGAAGGCGGCUCACUGGCCCGUAACUGACGCUGAGGUGCGAAAGCGUGGGGAGCAAACAGG
rnacentral:rRNA from 1 species